rnacentral:rRNA from 1 species
CAAUAGCGUAUAUUAAAGCUGUUGCGGUUAAAAAGCUCGUAGUUGGAUUUCUGUCAAGGACAACUGGUCCGCCCUCCGGGUGAGCACAUAGUUUGGUCUUGGCAUCUUGCUGGAAACUGUUGCUGCGCUUGGUUGUGUGGUGCAGCUUUCAGCACUUUCACUUUGAGGAAAUUGGAGUGUUUCAAGCAGGCACAUGCCUUUGGACACAGUAGCAUGGAAUAAUUAGAUUGGGCUUUUGCUCCAACUUGUUGGUUCCUGGAGCUGAGGUGAGAAUCAAUGGGGAUUGUUGGGGGCAUCCGAAUUUAACCGUCAGAGGUGAAAUUCUUGGAUCUGCUAAAGACGGACAACUGCGAAAGCGUUUGCCCAGGAUGUUUUCAUUGA